rnacentral:lncRNA from 1 species
CCUCUUUUUAUUGUGUGUAGCUAUUUUCUUAAUGGUUGUGGGUAUUCUUCCAAAUCUGGAAUAUUCUAGAAGAGGAAUAUGCCAUAUCUGGCAUGUGCAAUAAUAGCCCGUGUUCUUGACAUGAACAGUUUAUGAUUGAGGGCAGAAUUUCUUUCUUGUUUUCUGAUAUUUUUCUGCAUGCUUAUAUAGGAGUGUUAUAUAUGGAUUUGGGGUAGAAAAUCCUAAUGAAUCCAAUGGUGUUGUUGGUUUCUGAUGUUGAGCAUUUCUGUAAAAAUCCCCUUGUGGUGAGGUGGCAAUAGUUUUAUCGAUGUAGGGUUGAUUUGUGUG